UACGUAGGGGGCAAGCGUUGUCCGGAAUCAUUGGGCGUAAAGCGCGUGUAGGCGGCUUGAUAAGUCCGCUCUGAAAGCCCGGGGCUCAACCCCGGGAGGCGGGUGGAUACUGUCAAGCUCGAGUCCGGAAGAGGCGAGUGGAAUUCCCGGUGUAGCGGUGAAAUGCGCAGAUAUCGGGAGGAACACCAAUGGCGAAGGCAGCUCGCUGGGACGUGACUGACGCUGAGACGCGAAAGCGUGGGGAGCAAACAGG
rnacentral:rRNA from 1 species